rnacentral:rRNA from 1 species
GAUGAACGCUAGCGGCAGGCUUAACACAUGCAAGUCGAGGGGCAGCGCAGGUAGCAAUACUGGGCGGCGACCGGCAAACGGGUGCGGAACACGUACUGAAUCUACCUUUAUCUGGGGCAUAGCCCGAAGAAAUUCGGAUUAACUCCCCAUAAUAUAGAUGAGUGGCAUCACUUGACUAUUAAAAUUCAUUGGAUAGAGAUGACAGUGCGUCCCAUUAGCUAGUUGGUAGGGUAACGGCCUACCAAGGCGACGAUGGGUAGCUGGUGUGAGAGCACGACCAGCCACACGGGCACUGAGACACGGGCCCGACUCCUACGGGAGGCAGCAGCGAGAUAUGGUCAAUGGACGCAAGUCUGAACCAGCCCAUGCCGCGUGAAGGAUGAAGGCCUUCUGGUUGUAAACUUCUUUUACCU